UCUUGUUAGAGUGGAAGACAGACACUUCAUGGAUCCUGAUUAGAAACAAGAUGAGAAGUCAUCAGGACCUUUUGGACUCAUCUCCAUCAUUUGCUGUUUUAGCAGAACAUGAAGAGUUAAAGCCAUUUGUUUUCACACCUCAUCUCAUUGUCAUCACACCUCACUUUGAAGAAAUAACACCAGUGAGCAAAUUUCCUGUGUAAGUUCUGUUAAUUUUCAAAGCUAAUGCAUCAGUAUGUUUACAGCAUAUUUCUUUAUUUGUAAAGGCUAGAUAAUAGGAAAACAAUAAGAAUUGCUCAGGUGUGAAAGUAAAAUAUAUCAUAUGCUAACUUAUAUACUAUAUAAUAUACCCCAUUAUGUGUUCUCAGA
rnacentral:lncRNA from 1 species